rnacentral:rRNA from 1 species
UUAAUGGAGAGUUUGAUCCUGGCUCAGGACGAACGCUGGCGGCGUGCCUAAUACAUGCAAGUCGAGCGGGGUUAGUUAGAAGCUUGCUUCUAACUAACCUAGCGGCGGACGGGUGAGUAACACGUAGGCAACCUGCCCACAAGACAGGGAUAACUACCGGAAACGGUAGCUAAUACCCGAUACAUCCUUUUCCUGCAUGGGAGAAGGAGGAAAGGCGGAGCAAUCUGUCGCUUGUGGAUGGGCCUGCGGCGCAUUAGCUAGUUGGUGGG